UCCCUACCCCAAGCUUAUUUUCUAAAUUGCAUCUCCUUAUGUGUUUUCCAGCUCUUUCUUCAGAGACUCACCUCUACAUUUCUAUAUAAUAAUCUUACACAACUGUGUUUUGAUGUAUCCAUUUUAGAUAUUAUCUAUUGACUUCUCGUUAUGAGUGGUUGGGGAAGGAAACUUAGAUACAUUUCAAGAGUUCAACUUUCAUUAAGAGGAAAUCUCAUUUUCACAAUAGCCUCUAUCUCAACUCUGACCACAGUAUGAUUACAGGAAGAGAAUGGGUGAAAACCUGGGAGAUCUGUCUGUCUCAGCCCUGACCUCCAUGACUGCGUCUCCUGGUCACCCUCCUCUAACCUCCGUUGCUUCAUAGGUAAAACUCAGGAUGAUAUCUACUACUACUGCUUCCCCAAGCUUUUUGUGAUAAGCAACGCUUAAAUGAUAUAUGGGAUAAUGCUUAGUAGACUGUAAAGCAGACCACCAAGGGAAGAUACUGUUAUUUCCUCAAUACCACAGAACAGGGGAAGAGAUACCUCUUAGUUUCAUGGAAGAGAGAAAGUGGGAGGCCACUUAAAAGACAUUUCAGGGGCGCCUGGGUGGCUCAGUGAAUUAAACGUCUGCCUUCGGCUCAGGUCAUGAUCCCCAAGGUCCUGGGAUCAAGCC